rnacentral:snoRNA from 1 species
AAGACUAUACUUUCAGGGAUUGUUUCUGUAGUUUGUUACUAGAGAAGUUUCUCUGAGUGUGUGGACUACCCAAAACCACAAGGAGGACACACAGCAGUCUCUCCUGAAUACGAAGCCAGCUCUUGGUGUUCCUUCUGCAACUGCCAUUAGUCACUGAUGAUUGUUCUCAUCCUUUGGGAGAGUAAGAGGGAAAGUACGUUGUCUGAGCUGA